GUAAAUGAUUAACAUACGGAUUUACGUGUUAUGUCAUUAUAUUAUCACUGUAGGUGUUGUUUAAAUAGAAGCUGUACUUGUUCAGAAUUCAGAUUUGUCAAGGGAUCUGUCAGGAACAGAGAAUGAAUCAGAUGAAGAUAUUGAGCCAGAACUGAAACCGUCUACAGAGCAAGCCCAGGAAACCUCAUCUGAGCAAGCAACAGAACCAACCAGUACCACAUCUGUUCCCAAAGGUGUUAAGGUGGUAAAGAAAAAGAAAUGGGAGAUCAGUGAAGUGAAGGCAGUUGAAAAACAUCUGUCCAGGUUCAUCAAAACUUGCACAGUGCCAGGAAAAAAAAACAUGGUGAGGCCUGUAUUAAAGCUGAGCCUGUUGCACUGAACGGCAGGGACUGGUUACCUGUUAAGUUCUUCGUAAAGAAUAGAAUCACAGCUCUUAAAAGGUUAAUGUAACCCAGAAAAAAGUCUGCAUGAUUUCAUUUCAUUUGCACAGAUCAUUGGUAGUUUUAGUUUAUUAUUAUUAUUAUUAUUAUUAUUAUUAUUAUUAUUAUUAUUAAGUUUAAGGAUGGAAAUUUGUAUUGUACAAUUUUUUUUUUUCUAAUUCUUUACAUUUCAUUUGUGACAAACUUUUGAGUGUUAAUUAGUAACUGCCUGAAAAUAUUAUCUGUGCAAAAAUACUGC
ensembl:lncRNA